rnacentral:rRNA from 1 species
CAGUAGCCGCGGUAAUACGGAGGGUGCAAGCGUUAAUCGGAAUUACUGGGCGUAAAGCGCACGUAGGCGGUCUGACAAGUCAGAUGUGAAAUCCCCGGGCUUAACCUGGGAACUGCAUUUGAAACUGUCAGGCUGGAGUCUUGUAGAGGGGGGUAGAAUUCCAGGUGUAGCGGUGAAAUGCGUAGAGAUCUGGAGGAAUACCGGUGGCGAAGGCGGCCCCCUGGACAAAGACUGACGCUCAGGUGCGAAAGCGUGGGGAGCAAACAGGAUUAGAUACCCGUGUAGUCCCUGUCUCUUAUAC